ensembl:lncRNA
AAUUUAUCAAAAAGUAUAAAUUUGGGAACUUGAUUUGGACAAUCAUGCUACAACUAUCGCCCUGGGCGAUGGGGGCCCCAGUUGUGACUAUUAUUACCUGAUACUGUCUUCUAAUAUUGUGCAAAAAUCAAAUCAAAUAAUUCAGGAAGUCAUAGGCAGAUUAUUCAAUAUAUGACAAAAAACAGCGUUGGUAGCAGACAUAAUCACAAUGUCGUUUUGAACACUGUGUCUCUGAAAGAAAUACCAGAGGAUCACUUCCUCUGAAACACAUGUAAAAUGUAUUACUGAAUUGGUACGUCAAUACAUUUCUUUUCCUCUUGGGUUAUGUGCGCACUCAGCUUGAAAUGAGCUGCCAUUUGGCAACUUUGGGCCGUUUUACCUGCUGGCUAAACACUCUGCACUAUGAUUCUUUUAAAUGUACUGAAAACAAAGUGUUUCUGGUGAGUUGUUCUACUGCUGUGAUCUGAUCCAAUUUCUCUUCUUAACCCCACAGCAGGAGAACCCAGUCAGAGGGGAAAUAGUGCUCUCAUCCAAUGACCUCCAGCUGGUGCUCCAAGUGGAACGUAAUCAUGAGCUGUUGGGUCCCGACUUCACAGAGACCUACUACACAGGAGACGGGCAGCCGGUGACUGUAGCCAACCGAAAUUACACUGUAAGUAUGAAGCAACAGGCUAAAGUAAGUCUCUAGGUUUAUAAUUGGGUCCCCCACCCUUCUAAAUGCUUGUUACUAGCAAACUCCUUUUUUUAGUUUUUUUUUUUUUUUUAUCCCAUUAUCACUUUCUUUCUCAUGAGGACAUUCAUUGACUUCAUUCAUGUCUUAACCCUAAACCAAUGCUGUAAUCCUGAAACACCGUUAUUAGUAUACCAUUUUACCAGUGCUUGAUCGAGUCAUUUAUAUUUCCCUUCUAUAUCCCCAAGUUUAAAGCAGUUUUGGCAUUUCAUGUGGAAUUUAAGGACAUUAACAAGGAUUAUUUGUUUUGAGAGUGCUCUAUAAUUGGAUGAAUGCCUAAGUCUAUACAACUUUGAUCAUUCCACAAAAGCAUAUUCUAAAUAAAUAC